CACCACACUGCAUGCACACCGCACUGCACGCCCAGCACAGCACACACACCGCACUGCAUGCACAGCGCAUUGCACGCCCAGCACAGCACACACACCGCACUGCAUGCACACCGCAUUGCACACACACACACACAUCAACUGCAUGCACACCACAUCACACAUCUACUGUAGCACACACACCGCACUGCAUGCACACUGCAUUGCACACACACACACAUCAACUGCAUGCACACCACAUUACACAUCUACUGUAUUACACACACCACACUGCAUGCACACUGUAUUGCAUGUCCACUGUAGUAUGCACACUGCACCGCACGCUGUUGUACACGCACUGCAUGCAUGCCAUUACACGCUCACUGUAUUGCCUGUGCACCAUUGCACAGCCACUACAAUGCAUGCACACUGCACUGCAUGCAUGCUAUUGUACACCUGCUGCAUUGCAUGCAUGCCAUUGCACUCCCACAGGGAUCACCCCGUGCCUGUGCAGUAAUCCCCAGUUGCACCCACCUUGCAUGUACACAAAGGCACUGCCCCACACAUUGCAAGCCCUGCAUGGCUGACUGUGCACUUCACACACCUUCAUGACUCACCCUGCACACCUUGCACAGCCAUCGGCUCACAGUUUGCUUGUCUGUACCCUGCACACUUUGCACACCCUGAACACCAUACCCCACACCCUGCAGAAGCACUGCCCCCACCUUGCACACCUGCAACCCACCCUAUGGCAGAAGCAUCCCCCACUCACUGCACACUUACAAUCAGCACCCCACACUGCCACACACCUUGCAUAUCUGCAUGGCUCACCCCCCACACAUCACUCUCCAACUUGCACACUUGCACAGCUCACCCCAUGCACUGAACAUCUGCAUGGCUGACUCUGCACACAUUGCACAGGUAUCACCCCACGCCUUGCACACCUGUGUCCCAUACAUCGUACAACCAUCAACCCAUACCCUACACCCCAUUCAUUGCAUAGCCAUCACCCCAUUCCUUCAAAAGCUUCACACCCAUGCAUGCUUGCAUGGCUCAUCCCACACCCCAUACCUUGCACACCUGCACACCAUACCUUCUGCAGCCAUCAUCCCACACUUUGCACACUUGCACCCUAUCUAUACACUGCACACUUGCACGGCUCAUCCCACCCCCAUACACUGCACAGCCAUCACCCCAUACCUUGCGCACACCCACCCCAUACAUUGCACAGCCACUAUCCUACACCUUGCACACCUGCACCCUACAUUUUGCACAGCCAUCACCCCAC
rnacentral:lncRNA from 1 species